GUUCUGGUCCGUCGGUAAUUAUCUUUCGGACAACAAGAGGCUUCAACAUGGCUGUCCCAACGGGGAGAUCUGUGGUCUUCGUGACUGGAAACGCAAAUAAACUAGAAGAGGUGAUCAGAUCCUGGGGGAUAAGUUUCCCUACAAACUAGUGUCCAAGAAGAUUGACUUGCCUAAAUACCAAGGUGAACCAGAUGAGAUCUCCAUACAGAAGUGUGGAUGGGCCAGUCAUAGUGGAGGACACCUGUCUGUGUUUCAGAGCACUGUGAGGCCUACCAGGACCCUACAUUUGUGCUGAGCUACCCAAGGAGGUGAAGAACACCAUUUCCCAUCGGUAUCGCGCUCUGGCAGCCAUGUCUGAAUAAUUCUCCUCUCAGGACAACGGCACACCAGACAGCAAGAAGAAGAAACACAGCGAUUAACCCCUGAUCUAGCAUCUGAUUACCAUUAGAGGGAUACAAAAUCUGACCCUGUAUCAGUGGUUGGGGCAACUUCUACCUACUCCGAUUUAUGGGUCUCAGAGUCUGAGCCAACCAAUCAAACAGCUGCGACGUUGAAAGUUGAAUUUAGAUAUUGUUGCUUCAGAUAGUGCUUUCAAAAAGUAUUCACACCGAUUUGACUUUUUGCACAUUUUGGUGUGUUACACAUGGGAUUAAAAUUGGAAAAAAAUUGUCAACGAUCUACACAAAAUACUCAAUGUCUAAGUGGAAGAUUUUUUUUACAAAUGUUACAAUUUAUGAAACCCAAAACACUAAUAAAUCUUGAUUUGAUAAGUAUUCAACCCCCUGAGUCAUUACAUGUUAGAAUCACCGUUGGCAGCGAUUACAGCUGUGAGUCUGGGGA